rnacentral:misc_RNA from 1 species
GCAUAUUGACUGCAAACUGAACAAAGGGAAAAAAAAAUCUCUAGACAUAUCCGUUUGGUCUCUCUCCACUCUUUGCUAAUCUCUUUUGCAAGUCUGCAUCAUGAUGUUGCAUGGCUGCCUCCAGAGCCUGUUGCAUUGGACGUAUAAGGAGUGUAAGCUGAUUUCGAAGAUCUGACUGCACAGAUUCCUUCAUCUCCUGUAGCU